rnacentral:rRNA from 1 species
UACGGGGGGAGCAAGCGUUGUUCGGAUUUACUGGGCGUAAAGGGCGCGUAGGCGGUCAGCACAAGUCAGUUGUGAAAUCUCCGGGCUUAACUCGGAAAGGUCAACUGAUACUGUGCGACUAGAGUGCAGAAGGGGCAACUGGAAUUCUCGGUGUAGCGGUGAAAUGCGUAGAUAUCGAGAGGAACACCGGUGGCGAAGGCGGCGACCUGUCCGAUACUGACGCUGAGGCGCGAAAGCGUGGGAGCAAACAGG